CGCACCUUGCGCUCCUUGGUAUUCCGAGGAGCAUGCCUGUUUGAGUGUCGUGAAAUCAUCAACUCCCUAUUGCUUUUGUAAUUAGGAGCGUGGACUUGGAGACUGCCGGCCCUAAAGCGGUUCUGGCUUCUCUUGAAUGCAUUAGCUGAUAAAUGACUUGCAGCAUAUAUGCGGUGUGAUAAUGUCUUCACUGUGUAGCUCAUGUCGCAAUUGGCUUCUAACUGUUCUAACGUGAACAACUCUUGAUAACUAGACCUCAAAUCAGGUAGGACUACCCGCUGAACUUAA
rnacentral:misc_RNA from 1 species